rnacentral:tRNA from 1 species
UCCCUGAUAGUUCAGUGGUGAGGACUCCAUGCUUCUACUGCAGGGGGAAUCCCUGGUUGGGUUUCUCCAGGUUCAAUCCCUGGUUGGGGAA